CUGUUAGUAUAGUUGAAGGAUUUGGAAAAUUCCGCUAAAGAGGGUGAAAGCCCCGUAGACGAAAUGCUGACAACACCUAGGAGGAUCCUGAGUACGGCGGAACACGAGAAAUUCCGUCGGAAUCCGCGGGGACCAUCCCGCAAGGCUAAAUACUCCCUAGUGACCGAUAGUGAACCAGUACCGUGAGGGAAAGGUGAAAAGCACCCCGGAAGGGGAGUGAAAUAGAUCCUGAAACCGUGUGCCUACAACAAGUCAAAGCUCGUUAAUGAGUGAUGGCGUGCCUUUUGUAGAAUGAACCGGCGAGUUACGAUUGCAUGCGAGGUUAAGUCGAAGAGACGGAGCCGCAGCGAAAGCGAGUCUGAAUAGGGCGAAUGAGUAUGUAGUCGUAGACCCGAAACCAUGUGAUCUACCCAUGUCCAGGUUGAAGGUGCGGUAAAACGCACUGGAGGACCGAACCCACGUACGUUGAAAAGUGCGGGGAUGAGGUGUGGGUAGCGGAGAAAUUCCAAACGAACUUGGAGAUAGCUGGUUCUCUCCGAAAUAGCUUUAGGGCUAGCCUCGGAAUUGAGAAUGAUGGAGGUAGAGCACUGUUUGGACUAGGGGCCCAUCUCGGGUUACCGAAUUCAGAUAAACUCCGAAUGCCAUUCAUUUAUAUCCGGGAGUCAGACUGCGAGUGAUAAGAUCCGUAGUCGAAAGGGAAACAGCCCAGACCACCAGCUAAGGUCCCAAAAUAUAUGUUAAGUGGAAAAGGAUGUGGGGUUGCACAGACAACUAGGAUGUUGGCUUAGAAGCAGCCACCAUUUAAAGAGUGCGUAAUAGCUCACUAGUCGAGUGACCCUGCGCCGAAAAUGUACCGGGGCUAAACAUAUUACCGAAGCUGUGGACUACACCAUUAGGUGUAGUGGUAGGAGAGCGUUCUAAGGGCGUUGAAGGUCGAUCGUGAGGACGGCUGGAGCGCUUAGAAGUGAGAAUGCCGGUAUGAGUAGCGAAAGACAGGUGAGAAUCCUGUCCACCGUAUGACUAAGGUUUCCUGGGGAAGGCUCGUCCGCCCAGGGUUAGUCGGGACCUAAGCCGAGGCCGAUAGGCGUAGGCGAUGGACAACAGGUUGAUAUUCCUGUACCAGUUGUUUUUGUUUGAGCAAUGGAGGGACGCAGUAGGCUAAGGAAUGCAUGCGAUUGGAAGUGCAUGUCCAAGCAAUGAGUCUUGAG
rnacentral:rRNA from 1 species